AUGCCCAGCCGGUCCAGCCUGCCGGAGCCAGGGUACGCCUUAUUGGUGAACCUGGCGUGCAGGGACGCCGACGCCGACGACCUCUGCCCCGGCGCGAAGGCGUGUGCCGACGCCUUCCGGAGGGACCCGGACUUCUCGUACAGCGGCCGCUGCUUGGGCGCGCUCUGCGACCGCGCCUUGGCCCGGAACGACUCCGUGUUGGACAUGUAG
rnacentral:rRNA from 1 species